rnacentral:misc_RNA from 1 species
GAUGAAGAACGCAGUGAAAUGCGAUAAGUAAUGCGAAUUGCAGAAUCCGUGAGUCAUCGAAUCUUUGAACGCACAUUGCGCCCUUUGGUAUUCCGAAGGGCAUGCCUGUUCGAGCGUCAUUAUCACCACUCAAGCCCGGCUUGCUGUUGGUGGCAGCGCAGCCGGUCAACCGGCUACGCUCCACCCAAAGAUAAUGACGGCGUCUGCGAGGACUCCUGUACAUUGAGCUUUCGGGCACGUACAUGGCUAGAAGUCCAGGCGCCGGUCGACGUCCUCCGGGACACUUUUUACCAAGGUUGACCUCGAAUCAGGUAGGGAUACCCGCUGAACUUAAGCAUAUCAAUAAGCGGAGGA